UACGUAGGGGGCGAGCGUUGUCCGGAUUUAUUGGGCGUAAAGAGCUCGUAGGCGGUUUGGCAAGUCGGGGGUGAAAACUCCGGGCUCAACUCGGAGACGCCACUCGAUACUGCCAUGACUCGAGUCCGGUAGGGGAGUGCGGAAUUCCUGGUGUAGCGGUGAAAUGCGCAGAUAUCAGGAGGAACACCGGUGGCGAAGGCGGCACUCUGGGCCGGAACUGACGCUGAGGAGCGAAAGCGUGGGGAGCGAACAGG
rnacentral:rRNA from 1 species